AGGGCCUCAAAGAAACACCCACUCCCAUAUGGUCUAAAGAGUCUACUGUCUCUCACCUAACCCUUUUAAAGUAUGAGUGAAGAUUCCGGUGAUUAAUGUUAGACCUGAUGAGUAGGUAAAAUCCGUAUAAGCUCCAGCAAAGAUUCCGGUGAACGGGCAGGAGAAGAUUCCGGUUAACGGUUAAAAUUUUAUUGAUAUGGUAAAAGGCAUUGGCACAACUCUAACACCGGCAAGGUUUGUGUGUGCUUAAGUGACUCAUUUACAUGGUAAGAUUUGAAUGCUUGUGUUUGUUUUUAAGGUCGCACGCCAAGUGUUUGUGACAUUGCCUAAAUGACUAGAUCCAAACGUUGGUUAAUUGGUAGUAUGUGUAUUUUGUACAGAUGGUCAAGCUUUGGCCUAUAACCCUAUUUGAGGAAUUCCCAACUGUGUUUCUGAAUAUAUGAUGCAGUGGCUAUGAUUUUGAAUGUGAAUAACUGAAUAAAGCAUGCUUCUUAGAUUAGCUAACAUCAGAUUUGUAAUCAUUGUUUUAAUCUGCAGGUGCUAAUCUCAUAGUAAUUGAAAAAAAAAAUCAAUACGUGGGUUUGCUUGGUUUAAAUAUUCGACACAAGCUUCUUUUUUCUAUGUAUUUUGGGUUAGAAUUAUACAUCGUAACAAGAUCAUGAAGAUUGUGAGUUUGAACUUAAUGUUCAAAGCCUUUUUUCCUCGGCUUGAUAGCCCUGGCUUAAAGUUUUUGUUAUGCUUUAUUCUUUCCUAUCAAAUGUAGCAGAAGAUGUAUUUCUCUUUUGCUUCACACAUAUGCAUUUAGUAUUUUUAUUAUUGACUAAUGCUUUUUUUCUCUUUAAGUUUACAGAUAGAAAGUGACUAAGUGGAUAAAUCCAAAUUGUAGACUGUUUGCAAGAUGGGUAACUUAAAGAAUCUUAUUAAUUCAAACUAUGAUGUAUAUGGCUAAAAAGAGAAGAGACGGUCCACAAGGUUACAAUGGUGUAAGGACCAAAAACAAUGGAGCCCGUGAUGGGGCUGGGGCCAUGCUGGAGAAGAAAGAGCGAGCCUAGGAGCAGGAGAUGGCGGUGCUGAUGGGAGAGAAGGAAGAAUUGGCUGCUGAGCUGAAGUAUCUGAAGGAGGUUGGCUCCGUUUCUCAGGAGCAACUUAACACCAUGUAUGCGAAUUACGGGGUAACCUCUGAUGAUAAUCAGCGGUUGGCAAGGGAAAAGCAUUGGCUGAUCACUGAAGGUUUCGGAGCUUUCCUUGCUGUUGUUGCUCAGUCAGAGGACUUUAAGGGUGGUUUAGAGGAGAUAUACAGGGCUUACCGGGAUGUGGGCUACCAGGCCGGUCUGAAGGAUGGAUAUGCUUACUCUGCCCAGGGUUUGGGCAGGAAAGAGACUCCGUUGUACAAUUCCAAAGCUAAGAGGAAGCUGUCCAAGUUGGACGAGGAGUUUGGAAGCAAGACCCCUAACAUCCUGAAGAAGAUCCUGGAGCAUCCCUUAAUAUCGAUUGAUGAGUUAAAAGCCCAGUUUUCCUCUGCUGGUCCUUCCUCUCCGCCAUCUUUGGUCUAGGGGUGCACCCCAGUAAUUUCUGAACAUUUGUUUCUCUUCGAUAUGGUUGUAACUUAACUACUCGUCCUAGGAUAUUUUUAAACUUUUGGUGUUUGGGGGCCUUUGUGUGGGGGGCCCCCUUUGGUUGCUAAUCAUGUAGUUCAUGCU